UGGGGAAUAUUGCACAAUGGGCGCAAGCCUGAUGCAGCAACGCCGCGUGAGGGAUGACGGCCUUCGGGUUGUAAACCUCUUUUAGUAGGGAAGAAGCGAAAGUGACGGUACCUGCAGAAAAAGCACCGGCUAACUACGUGCCAGCAGCCGCGGUAAUACGUAGGGUGCGAGCGUUGUCCGGAAUUAUUGGGCGUAAAGAGCUCGUAGGCGGUCUGUCGCGUCUGCUGUGAAAACCCGAGGCUCAACCUCGGGCCUGCAGUGGGUACGGGCAGACUAGAGUGCGGUAAGGGAGAAUGGAAUUCCUGGUGUAGCGGUGGAAUGCGCAGAUAUCAGGAGGAACACCGAUGGCGAAGGCAGUUCUCUGGGCCGUAACUGACGCUGAGGAGCGAAAGCGUGGGGAGCGAACAGGAUUAGAUACCCUGGUAGUCCACGCCGUAAACGUUGGGCGCUAGAUGUGGGGACCAUUCCACGGUUUCCGUGUCGCAGCUAACGCA
rnacentral:rRNA from 1 species